CUUGUGUAAACGUUCCACCAACUCUCAUCAUGCACUACCAGCAUCCUCUUCUUGGGUCUUCUUGUGCAAGCAACAGAUCACUAAGCAUGAUGAGAGUUGCAGUGCAAUGGGGCUUAUGCAUGUUGUCAACUGGUCCCUUUUAACUCUUGCCUCUAGAAGGCUUAUCAUUAGAGAGUUGUAGUUCAAAGCAUUUGGUACAAUACUGAUUAUCCUUGGCUGAUGCAGAGAUUGAAU